CAGAGCAGAAACCACCAGCCCACUGCGGCAGCAGAGGGGCCUAUGGCUGGGGCUGUGGGAACAGGGAAGUUGCACCCAGGGCCCCACCCACAGGCACCGUUGCUUACCCUGCCUGGUGCACGGGUCAGUGAAGGGAGUGGCUGCCCUUCUGCUCAGCCCGGUCUUGGUCCCAUUACUUUCUCCGUUUGUUCUGCUGAAGAGAGCCAGGAGGAAGUGAAGUGUCCCCUCCAAGGUCAAGGCAGCCUGCAAACCCCACCUGCCCGCUGAGCCCAUCGUUUCUUUGAUCACAAUGGGUUUCAAGCAGGAAGAUUGCCCUGUCCUGAGGACAGCACAGCCAGCUUCAUGGGCACUUGACAUGAAAACCUCCGGUGGCCUCAGUACCCAGCUUCCAGCUGUCUUGGCAGAUGUUCCGUCCACAAGUUCCAGGAAGUUCAGCAAUGCUUCUGCACUGGGUUCAGCCAGAGCUGACACGAUAAAACAGCAUGUGAGCAUCUCUGGAGUUGGUGUCCCCAGAGUCCGCCUCCUGGAUAUUGCCAGCUGCCUGGACCAACCUUUCCGAAAGAUCAGCCAGGUCACAGUGAGGGUCAAAGCCCCCUUCCUCAGUCUCUUGCUCCAAAUCCUGGACCACACACUGCGUGCUAUGGCUCCAUUGCUGUGCUGGGUGAGGGGUGCAGGACUGUCCAGCUGAGAGCCACCCAGGAGGCCCACCCA
rnacentral:lncRNA from 1 species